AGCUCUGCUUAUUGUUGUCAAACGGUUAAAUAACGCCACGUGCUUUUUACUGAAUGCAUCUGCAUAAAUAAUCAGUUGUAAUGUUUAUCAAAGUGCACGCUUUGAAAAACUAAAACGCCAUAUUAAAUAUAGUAAUUAAAUGUCUUCCUCGACGAGAACAAUCUUACUUUGAUCGACUCAAGAAAAUUCAAGAUAAUUCGAAACGCCAAAUUAGAAAUGCGAGACCUCGGAGCAAAUCCAGGAGUGGAAUUUCAGGUGAAAGUUCUGAUGAACUGACCAAAAACAGAGUUGACAAAGCCUGGUCACUGGCGCUGAAAUCAUGUCAGGAUUCCAAGUAUCUCGAACGUCAGAAUGCAACCGUAAAGCCCAUGAACAAACCAUGGAAGACUAUUCGACUGUUUGUUUCGUCGACGUUUCACGACUUCCAGGUGGAGCGGGAUAUUUUGGUGAAGAAAGUGUUUCCUGAUUUGAGGGCUUGGUGCAAGGGAAGAAAGUUGCAUCUCGUCGAAAUAGAUCUGAGAUGGGGCGUUCCGUCUGGCCUAGAUGCUGAAUUAGCUGUUCACACGUGUCUGGGUGAGAUUGAGAGGUGUUACAAAGAGAACACUUUUCCCUUUUUCCUCAGUAUGUUGUCAGAGAGAGUUGGCUGGAUUCCAGAUCACCAUGUGGUCAGCGAUGCUAUCAG